rnacentral:rRNA from 1 species
GGAAACGGUGGCUAAUACCGGAUAAGCCUAUGGGUAAAAGAUUUAUUGCCCCAAGAGGAGCUCGCGUCUGAUUAGCUAGUUGGUGAGGUAAAAGCUCACCAAGGCAGCGAUCAGUAGCUGGUCUGAGAGGACGAUCAGCCACACUGGGACUGAGACACGGCCCAGACUCCUACGGGAGGCAGCAGUGGGGAAUUUUCCGCAAUGGGCGAAAGCCUGACGGAGCAAGACCGCGUGAGGGAGGAAGGCUCUUGGGUUGUAAACCUCUUUUCUCAGGGAAGAAGCUCUGACGGUACCUGAGGAAUCAGCCUCGGCUAACUCCGUGCCAGCAGCCGCGGUAAUACGGAGGAGGCAAGCGUUAUCCGGAAUUAUUGGGCGUAAAGCGUCCGCAGGUGGCGACUCAAGUCUGCUGUCAAAGCACGGGGCUUAACUCCGUUAAGGCAGUGGAAACUGAAUAGCUAGAGUGCCGUAGGGGUAGAGGGAAUUCCCGGUGUAGCGGUGAAAUGCGUAGAGAUCGGGAAGAACAUCGGUGGCGAAAGCGCUCUACUGGACGGCAACUGACACUCAGGGACGAAAGCUAGGGGAGCGAAUGGGAUUAGAUACCC